rnacentral:lncRNA from 1 species
UCGAGUGAGGUUGUGCGCGUUAUCGCUGUGGACGUUUUUCUUGGUGAAGGCUCUGCAUCCGAAUUUUAUAGCGGAAAUUCUCCAAGAUUGGACAAGAAACUUAGUGAAAGUGACAUGCGGUUAACCGUAUAUAAAAUUUUUGUAACAACCAGUGCAAUAGUUGUGCAAUAAAUUUGAUGUUUUAAUUCCACUAAUAAAGGCCCAAGCGCUGCAAUUCGAGCAUAACUUGCACUAAUUUAGAAGUGUUCAGUGCCACUAAACUGCCGGCGCUCCUCUUGAAACUAAUCCUGCGUCUUGUGAAACUAUGCGAACUGUUGCCGUGACCUCAUAAAAUACCCUAUCGUAACUUCCUUUACGCUUUAUUAUUUGUCAACGUGAAAAGUACUAUUGUAAAUCUCGUCAAAAUUUGAUGUAAAUAUCACGGUAUAAUGUGUGGGUAUGUGAAGGAAUAUUUGAGAAACAGAACUGUACUGCUAGAUGGAGACUGAGGUCGGAACGAUACGUGGCCCCUGUAUACUGACAGCCCUCGAAAUGUAUCAGAUGAGCGGGAAGUUGGUGACGUCAAUCGAGUCCCGUUUUUGACUUGAGGGAAAAAUCUUGUUUCCUGGACAUCGUUGAUGAGGACAAAAUUUUCUGAUAUACACCAAAUAUUCGGACGUGACCCGAGCACACUUGCCUAACUCACGUCUUAGAUUCAUUGCACUUGAAUAUUUAAAAACAUUUAAU